rnacentral:tRNA from 1 species
GCGGUAGUAGCUCAGUUGGUAGAGCACCGGUCUCCAAAACCGGGUGUCGGGAGUUCAAGUCUUUCCUGCCGUGCUA